UCUAAUACCGGAUACUGACCACUGGGGGCAUCUUCAGUGGUCGAAAGCUCCGGCGGUGCAGGAUGAGCCCGCGGCCUAUCAGCUUGUUGGUGAGGUAGUGGCUCACCAAGGCGACGACGGG
rnacentral:rRNA from 1 species